ACACCAUGUGACACUGGAGAACCUCCAGGGCAUAUUUCAUCUGGCAUCAACAACUAGAGGUCACCGUGACCCAAAACUUCCUGCGUUCUCAGGCCUGGCAACGCCUGCCAAAGCUAGCCAUGGUGGGGGUAGGGGAGCGCCGCUUGUGGGGAGCUGACCAAGUGUGGUGUCGGCCGCCCUGCCUGCCAACAGACAGCAACACUGGUUUUCCACUGCCGGCCAUUCAUUGGACUUGGACAGCUUUGUUCCUUCUCUGGGACCAAGUCAACAAGCUGGGACCAGAGGAGCUGCGGCUGUAGCACGCAGGGACCGAACAAAAGAGCAAAUAUACAGAUAUCCCUGGAAGCCAGAGUUCUUGGAAGGAAGAAAUACACAUACAGAAUGGGAGAAGGCAAGGAAAAACCCUGUAAGGUUGGGAUGCAUUCAGAGAAAUAGAAACUUCUGAUUCCAUAUAGGCCUUCCUUCAUCCCCUCAACCCUCAGCUUUGUGGCCUCUAUCUUGGACUGUCAAAGGCCAGUUUAAACAAUGGUCACACAGAGAUUCACACUUCUCGCAAGCCCCAACUCAAUCUCCUGCCAUGUUUUUCAGGAAAGCGUUAACCCAGUUGUCCUGAGUUGCUCCAACUUUGCAGUUCUCAAGAAAGCCCUAUUCUGUGCUUUUGUUUAAAUGCAGCUUAUGCAGAUAACAUAAGUGUGGAUCUUGUUUUUAAUCCAAUCUGAAAGGAUCUGCUUUUGAUUUUGACUGCUGUCUGAAUCGUGUGCACGGUUGUGGGACAUUUGGACUACAGAUAAGAAAAUGUGGCACAUAUACACCAUGGAAUAGUAUGCAGCCAUAAAAAAUGAUGAGUUCAUGUCCUUUGUAGGGACAUGGAUGAAAUUGGAAAUCAUCAUUCUCAGUAAACUAUCGCAAGGACAAAAAACCAAACACCGCAUGUUCUCACUCAUAGGUGGGAAUUGAACAAUGAGAACACAUGGACACAGGAAGGGCAACAUCACACUCUGGGGACUGUUGUGGGGUGGGGGGAGGGGGGAGGGAUAGCAUUAGGAGAUACACCUAAUGCUAAAUGACGAGUUAACGGGUGCAGCACACCAGCAUGGCCCAUGUAUACAUAUGUAACUAACCUGCACAUUGUGCACAUGUACCCUAAAACUUAAGUAUAAUAAUAAUAAAAAAAAAGAAAAAAAAAGGAGAGAUUAAUAACACAUAAAUAGCCAACUGGUGGAGCAAAACUCUCACAACCAGCCCAGGACCACCUGCCACUUGAUUCGUAUGUACGAGAGAAAUAAUUUAUCUAGUGUAUUCUAUUUUUUAUUUUUUCUAUUGCUCCUGUAACAAAUUACCACUGUAUUAGUAGCUUAAAACAACUUGAAUUUAUUUUCAUACAGUUUUGGAUGUCAGAAGUCCAAAAUUCAAGGUGCAGGACUGCUUUCUUUCUGGAGGCCCUAGGGGAAGAAUCUGUUUCCCUGCUUUUUCCAGUGUGUAGAAGUCACCUACAUUCCUUAGGUCACGGCCUCUUCCUUGCAUUACAGCAACCUCUGCUUCAGUCAUCACAUUUUCUUUUCUGACUCUGCGCCUCCUCCCUCUCUCAUGUGAAGACUCUUGUGAUUACAUGGCGCCCACUCAAAUUGUUCAUG
rnacentral:lncRNA from 10 species